GGGAGCUCUCCCCUGCUCUGCCCGGCAGUCCCGCCCGGGCCGGUCAUGGCGCUGCUGCUGGAGCACGAGUUCAAGGUGCUGCCGGCCGACAAGCAGAUCGAGACCGAGCCCUUCCUGGAGGCUGUGACACACCUGCCACCCUUCUUCGACUGCCUUGGGGCACCGAUCGUGUAUGCACCAGUCAAAGCAGAUCUCUCUGGAAACAUCAAGAAAAUCCGAGCAGUGUAUGAAUCCAAUCCUGCCAAGUUCAAAACGCUGCAGAACAUUCUGGAAGUGGAGAAGGAAAUGUAUGGAUCGGCAUGGCCAAAGACUGGCGCAACGCUGGCACUCAUGUGGCUGAAAAGGGGCCUGAAGUUCAUACAGGUUCUGCUGCAGAGCAUCUCUGAUGGCGAGAGAGACGAGGCGAAUCCGAACCACAUCCGAGUCAAUGCGAUGAAGGCUUAUGAAAUCGCGCUGAAGAAGUAUCAUGGCUGGAUGCUCCAGAAGCUCUUCACGGGCUCAGUCUAUGCUCUUCCAUACAAGUCGGACUUGCUGAAGGCUCUAGAGAAGGGCAAAGAAGUGAAUGAGGAAGAGAGUCUAGAGAAGAUCCAUCAGUUCCUAGCAAAAGCCACCCCUAUUCUGGAUGCAAUUUAUGACAUGUAUAUAAAAAUGAAUGCAGAACUGAACUACAAAGCUUAACCUUUGCACUGGACUCCUGCAGCCAAGAACAACAAUGCUCCCAAAAUUUUAAUCCGUGGGAGCACUAGGCUUGUUUCCAUUCAUCAAGUGACUUUAAUUCUUGGCAUGGAUAUGCAGGACAUAACUUGGGGGCGGUUCUUUUAAAAAAAAAAAAAAAAGAAUAGUUUUCUUUAGAAACGGAGCAAUAUAAUACAACGAUCAUUUCCCAGAUCUUGGAACUUGACACACUUUUGUACCAACUGGAGAAUGGUGUGAUGUAUAAAAGGCUCUUCAGCACUGACCGACCAUUUGCCGUGCCAACUCGAAGCUUCGCCUUGCAAACCUGGAGAGCCGGGAUGUGCAGUUCAGGGCUUUGCAGUCACUGGAUGAGGGACGACUCUACUCCGAACGCAGCGGCCUUGUACUUCGCCGCCAGAUGGGGCUCUCGGCUGUUUCUCGAGUCCAAGCUAAGCCAACCCAUUCAUCCCAUUUCCUACUUAAACCUGAGUUAUUGAUCUCCCUGCCUCUGAGCUCUUGAACUGCGGGUGGUUUUGAAGGGCAGAAUAAUGGGAGUAGCUGCAGAGGGGCUGGUUCACAGCCUCGUACAACAUCCCACGGCCGCCCCUGCCUGUGUCCUUCUUGGAACAUUUUAACUGCCGAAAACUUGGUACAAAGUGUGAGCUUGUUUCUGGAAUAUUUCCAGGGAGAUGCCUUACGUGUGACUCAUGUCAGCAGGGUACUCUUUCUUAAUCAAAAACUAGUUUCUGCUUUCUUUUUCCCGACUAUAUGCUCGGUGUUAAAAGGAAAAAAGGUUGGUUACAAUCUGGCCAAUGCACAUUUGAUCUCUGCUUGACACCUUAGAGGUGCUCGGGGCUGGGAUCUUUCAGUGACGGUCUUCAACGAGCCAAGCGGUAGAAAGGAAGGGGCCGGCGGUACCCGUACAAGCUCCUGGCACACCGCAUUCGAACACCCAGAGGUCCGUGCCGACGCUCCUGGUCCU